rnacentral:lncRNA from 1 species
AGCCAGGUGUAGGAUUUAUGAAGUGAAAUAAAUGUUGCUUUAAGAUUGCCACGGAAUUCUGAGUAAGUCAGAGGAAGAGAAUUUUCCAGAGCCUUAGGAGAGGCAGUUGGUAAAAAUGACACCACUUCUGGGAGAGAGACUCAGAGGCUGGUUGGUCCUGGUUUUUCCCUCUGAUCAUCCUUGAGGAUAUUGGUGAAGAUUGAAUUUGAAACCAGCUUGAUAUUAAGAUAUUAAGAAACUUGGAAAGAUGACUGAUCAGAAAGCAGGAGUUACUGUGCCCCAUUCUGAGGUAUUCCUUUGGUGGUCACCAGAGAGCAACUGCUUUGAGAGCUCAUCCUCUAAAGAGAAUGCAAAAGCGAAUCUCACCAGAAUCCAAAAGGAAGGAAUCACUCUACUCAACACCACAAGAUCCAAGGAAAGAGUAUUUUCCAGUCUGGCUCACCAAUGCAGAGUAAGAGACUGAAUCCUUGAGCUGACCUUUUUAAAGCAGUUUUCUCGAAGUUACUUUCUGUUGCUCCCCCACUUUAU